rnacentral:rRNA from 1 species
GCGCACCAGGCGCGAAACUCCGCAAUGCUCGAAAGAGUGACGGGGGAGUUCCAAGUGCCUACGCUCAGCGUAGGCUGUUCAGAUGCCUAAAAAGCAUCUGGAGUAAGGGCUGGGUAAGACGGGUGCCAGCCGCCGCGGUAAUACCCGCAGCUCGAGUGGUAGUCGAUUUUAUUGGGCCUAAAGCGUCCGUAUCCGGUCUGGUAAAUGCUUGGGGUAAAUCGUGGGGCUCAACCCUACGAAUUCCGGGUAGACUGCCAGACUUGGGACCGGUUGAGGAAGAGGGUACUUCAGGGGUAGGAGUGAAAUCCUGUAAUCCUUGAAGGACCACCAGUGGCGAAGGCGCUCUUCUAGGACGGGUCCGACGGUGAGGGACGAAAGCCAGGGGAGCAAACCGGAUUAGAUACCGGGUAGU